rnacentral:tRNA from 1 species
GCCUUCAUGGUGCAGGGAUCAGCACUCUCGACGAGUAUUCGAGAGGUCCGUGGUUCGAAUCCCGGCGACGGCA